CCUACGGGAGGCAGCAGUGAGGAAUAUUGGUCAAUGGGCGUAAGCCUGAACCAGCCAAGCCGCGUGAGGGAAGAAGGUCCAGCGUAUCGUAAACCUCUUUUGUCCGGGGACAAAGGCGGGCACUAGUCGCUGGAUGCAGGUACCUCAUGAAAAAGGAUCGGCUAACUCCGUGCCAGCAGCCGCGGUAAUACGGAGGGUGCGGGCGUUAUCCGGAUUUAUUGGGUUUAAAGGGAGCGGAGGCCGGCCUGUAAGCGUGCCGUGAAAUGCUGGGGCUCAACCCCGGGAGUGCGGUGGGAACUGGAGGGCUGGAGUGGGCGAGAGGUAGGCGGAAUGCGCGGUGUAGCGGUGAAAUGCUUAGAUAUCGCGAAGAACUCCGAUUGCGAAGGCAGCGUACUGGA
rnacentral:rRNA from 1 species